rnacentral:tRNA from 1 species
GGGGCGGUAGCUCAAUGGUAGAGCAGGUGACUGUUAAUCAUCCGGUCGCGGGUUCGAUUCCCGUCCGCCCCG